AGCGAACGCUGGCGGCAGGCCUGACACAUGCAAGUCGAACGAAGCCUUCGGGCUUAGUGGCGGACGGGUGAGUAACACGUGGGAACGUACCUUUUGGUUCGGAACAACUCAGGGAAACUUGAGCUAAUACCGGAUGAGCCCUUAGGGGGAAAGAUUUAUCGCCGAAAGAGCGGCCCGCGUUAGAUUAGCUAGUUGGUGAGGUAAAGGCUCACCAAGGCUACGAUCUAUAGCUGGUCUGAGAGGAUGAUCAGCCACACUGGGACUGAGACACGGCCCAGACUCCUACGGGAGGCAGCAGUGGGGAAUCUUGCGCAAUGGGCGAAAGCCUGACGCAGCCAUGCCGCGUGAAUGAUGAAGGUCUUAGGAUUGUAAAAUUCUUUUACCAGGGACGAUAAUGACGGUACCUGGAGAAAAAGCCCCGGCUAACUUCGUGCCAGCCGCCGCAGUAAAAC
rnacentral:rRNA from 1 species